GCAUCCGACCCGUAAUUAUCGGGCUACACGCGGGCUACAAUGGGUGGGACAAUGGGUAUCGACACCGAAAGGUGAAGGCAAUCUCCUAAACCCAUCCGUAGUUCGGAUUGUGGGCUGCAACUCGCCCACAUGAAGCUGGAAUCUGUAGUAAUCGUGUCUCAAAAUGGCACGGUGAAUAUCGUCCCUGCUCCUU
rnacentral:rRNA from 1 species